UUUAAUGCUUUUUACUUCCAUCUGUAACUCCUAAAAGAAAGAGAAUGCCCAUCAGAAGCUAUCGAAACUCUUGAGAUGGUCGGUGCUUUGGCCAAUGGAAAUGAAAUCUUUAGCUUGCUUCCCCGCUUUAAGAAGACCAGAGGAAAGAUCUUUUCUUUACGCGAGCCUUAAGGCAGAGGACAUUCUUUGGUUGGUUGGUGAAGUGCCCUUAAGAGGAAGACCGAAGGCCGAAGCUUAAGAUUGAAUUCAAUUCCCACUUGUAACUCAUAAACGAAAGAGAAUUUCAUCCAAGGGGUGAGGAGUGAAAAGCUAU
rnacentral:lncRNA from 1 species